rnacentral:rRNA from 1 species
GUUUGAUCCUGGCUCAGAUUGAACGCUGGCGGCAUGCCUUACACAUGCAAGUCGAACGGCAGCACGGACUUCGGUCUGGUGGCGAGUGGCGAACGGGUGAGUAAUGUAUCGGAACGUACCUUUCAGUGGGGGAUAACGUAGCGAAAGUUACGCUAAUACCGCAUAUUCUGUGAGCAGGAAAGCAGGGGAUCGCAAGACCUUGCGCUGAUUGAGCGGCCGAUAUCAGAUUAGCUAGUUGGUGGGGUAAAGGCCUACCAAGGCGACGAUCUGUAGCGGGUCUGAGAGGAUGAUCCGCCACACUGGAACUGAGACACGGUCCAGACUCCUACGGGAGGCAGCAGUGGGGAAUUUUGGGACAAGUGGGGGCAACCCUGAUCCAGCCAUCGCCGCGUGAGUGAAGAAGG